GCACUCUUGGGAUUUCCUGAGAGUAUGUCUGCUUCAGUG
rnacentral:rRNA from 3 species